GGAUGGCAGGCCAAUAAUUAAUAACCAUUGUUUCGAUUUAAAAUUAUCCAUUAAGACGAAUAUGCAGAACAGAAUCAUAAAGACACAUAUUAACGGAAAACACAUCUAUGGAGUAGAUGGAACUUUAUCUAAUCCUCACGACACGGAGUUCAAUUCAGCCUAGGCAAUCUAACGAAAACUACAGAGAGAUGCUGGUUCAGGUGCGAGGAACUUGGAGGGUAAUACAAGUUGCAGCCUAAUUGGCUGACAAUUGAAACAGGAGAGUAGGAAAUACAAAGAUGCUUCAAAAUUUUGAUUCAUCAGCCUACACUAUUAUUGUCCUAUAGUGGCAUCACAGAAAUCAAGAAGCGGUGCCUUUCAAUAUCAAGAUCACAACUCCGGCGAUGGUCACGAUCAUCGAAACGGUCACAGUGCUCCCUUAUUUCACUUCUCUCAUGGUGCUCACGAUGGUGGCGAUCACUGGCCCUAUCCCGAUCACCGCAGUCAUGGUUACACAGACACUCUCCCUGUCCCGGUGCCACACCCUGUCUUCCCCACGGCACGUGUAGCGACCUCUAUCCUUGUCAUCAUCGCGUCCUCUACCCUUGUCUUUGGAACUCGAGGACCUCUCCUUGUGAGGAUGUGCAUCCUUCUGAAAAGGAAAUGAAUCCCAUUGUCAGAUCAAAUUUAAAAAAAAUCAGGUCCUAGCAUGAUACAAAUACUUGCUACUUCGAACCAUCAAGCGACUCACAUCAUGCAAAAUUAACAAAACCUCUGUUGCACUUUCACAUAAGAGCAGGUACUACAUGAUCAUAAACAAAAAGCUCAACCCACAGUAUAUGCUCCUGAACUUCGAAUCACAUCACAAGCCAAUGCAUCUAAAGUAUUGAAACUUACUUUAAAAAAGCCCGAAUUUAGUUUUCAAGGGUGCAGUGUGGAACUGAAUACAAGGCCCAGCAAUAAUUUGGGGGGCGAAACUUGAAUCCAAGACUCACAACUGAAGGCGGCGCAGGAAGCUAAGAACCUAGCUAUUCCGAACAAAUCCUAUCGGAAAAAACCCCGCGUCAAGAGAUCAAUGACGCAGCAUAUACCGCAGCACAACCUCAUUACCCCACUGCAUCUAUAUAUGAUAUCCUUUCCAGGGGAGCGGAACUAGCUAAAAGCACAAUCCAGAGUAGCACCGACUUGGGCCGAAACUGAAAUCCGAUCAGCCUCGAAUCCGCAACUAAACAUGACGUGUGCAGCAAUCUAUAAACCGAAGUAAUUAGAGCCGACCUUAUCCAAAAUUCCCCAAAUCGAAGCGAGCCAGCCGGCCCAUCUCCCACUUGCACGCUUCGGCGAAACACCCCGCCCCAAGCGCGAAAAAUAAUAGAUGGUAAAGCUAGCCAUGACGAUCCAGCAAGCGGGCGUCGCUGCUGCGCUUGGCCGGCACGAACCUUUUUUUUUGUAUCAAAAAGUAUUAUAGAGAUCAGAGAUAAAAACUGAAUUAACAACUCAUUCACUAGAUCUUCUAAAACAACUUAUUCAUUAUAUGUUCGCCAAAUAAAGCCUUGCACAGUUAGAGAGCAAUGUUGAUAUGUUGUCACAGCCUAGAUCUUGUAGUAAUUGAUACAAAUGCCACAUAUUUUCAAAUUAUUGCAGAGUGAUGGUGUUUUCAAGUAUAAGUGUGACCCAGAACGGAUGCAUCUUGAUGCAAUGAGGAAUCAAACAGAACUCUUAAUUAAUAAUAGCAAUACAGAGAAUUUCACAUGAGAAAUUAUGAACUUAGGAGUAUAAUAAUUAUAACCCAUGUAACGCAACUGUAACUGAAGAACUCAUUCUAAGCACCCCCAUAAGCAAUAUAGUAUAGAAAUAGAAUGCUAAUUACUUAUUCUAUUAUGAUAAGAGAAACAGAACAUGAUCCUAACUAUGAGCGCAUAUCAUGGAUUCAAUGAUCUCGGGAAAGAUUGUUGAGCGUCUGGGCAAAAUGCACCUCCCAGAUUACAAUGACUCAUAUGAAACUGUAAAUUCAUAAUUAAAGGGCGCAGCCUUUUGGCAUGUGCAUCAGUAAACUGUAGUUUACCUGCAGCUGAGACUUAGCUUCUUCGCUGAUGGAUCAUUCGGUGGCUUGCUGCCGGCCGAUUGCGACAACGACAAUGGGAUGGAACACGCCUUCAACCCUCGCGGUGGUGCUGGGCAUCUACCGUUCGUGCCGAGUGGGAGGAACAUGCCGCCGCGCCGCCACCGACUUGACGCAGCAUGCGCGGCACGUUCACGGCAAGCUGCAGAACUUGAGGGCUCACGUUCGCCGCCGAUCUCACGCCUCAGCCGCCCGGCG
rnacentral:lncRNA from 1 species